rnacentral:rRNA from 1 species
GACGAACGCUGGCGGCGUGCUUAACACAUGCAAGUCGAACGGAAAGGCCCUGCUUGCAGGGUACUCGAGUGGCGAACGGGUGAGUAACACGUGGGUGAUCUGCCCUGCACUUCGGGAUAAGCCUGGGAAACUGGGUCUAAUACCGGAUAGGAGCCAUUUUUAGUGUGAUGGUUGGAAAGUUUUUUCGGUGUAGGAUGAGCUCGCGGCCUAUCAGCUUGUUGGUGGGGUAAUGGCCUACCAAGGCGGCGACGGGUAGCCGGCCUGAGAGGGUGGACGGCCACAUUGGGACUGCGAUACGGCCCAGACGCCUACGGGAGGCAGCAGUGGGGAAUAUUGCACAAGGGGCGCAAGCCUGAUGCAGCGACGCCGCGUGGGGGAUGACGGCCUUCGGGUUGUAAACUCCUUUCGCUAGGGACGAAGCUUUUUGUGACGGUACCUAGAUAAGAAGCACCGGCUAACUACGUG